AACUCUUGGGCUACCCUUCUGCCAACGAAUAGUUGGAUUGACAUUAUAACGCCCCCACGGCUGAAAGGGCGAGCAUGUUUGGUGGGACGAGGAUUCGAACCCGCGACCCUCAGAUUACGAGGCUAACACCUUAACAACCUAGAUUGUUUUGAUCAUAUUAACCCACAGGUAAAGGAACGGCUGGUUUUGAUCAGGUUAACCCACGGGUAAAGGAACGGUUGGUUUUGAUCAGGUUAACCCACAGGUAAAGGAACGGUUGGUUUUGAUCAGGUUAACCUACAGGUAAAGGAACGGUUGGUUAAUGUACUAAUGUUGUUAAAGUUUUCAUUCAACACAGAGGACAUUUUUCAAGCCAUAAGUAAUUAGGAAGCUAUGUUAAAUACAAUUUACAUAACAAUCUUUUAUAUUAAUUAUGUUAAUUACGUAACUCAAAGUUUAUUCAAAUUAAGGGUAACGAAACGGUCGAGGAAUGGCUUUAGAAAUAACGUAGUAUUUGUUUUCUUGGUCGGAGUUGAUUUUUCCGUUCGUCAUUGAACUAUGAAAGGGACACGCCGACCACCACGAUGGUCAUACAUACGAAAGGGCACGAGCUUCGCAUCUUCUCCAGCAACAAAUCAGUUUUUUUUGUUUUCACUGACAGCCGAGAAUGGUACUGAAUAUUGAUGAUUAAAGAAUAGAUCAUGCUGAAUAAAAGCUAUGUUGGAGAAGGUUGCUAGGAGACCUCGAGUGGGAUUCAGGAUCUCAUCAACGAAGUAGUUUGAAUUCAAGAUCAAGGAAAUUCCCCCUUACGGCGUUUGGAAGCAGUUUUCAUAGGGCAGAACUCAUGAUGGGUCGAAACUUUGAAAGUAACGUCGAUACAUUGUAUCAAUAACGGUAUUAAUCUUCUGGGUUUAGGGGAGGGACCUCUUGCUAGAUUCGGGACUCCGGGAGGAAGGGGUGGGACACGGGUUUAAUGUGCCUGAUACCGAUUUCUAUCCUCCCUCCUCUAAGAGCGGCAUCUCGCGGAAUACGCAUUAACAAGGUUUAUUAUCAGCAUCACCUGUAUUGAGUUUUUCUCGGUAAGUUGAUCCAAAAUACCCUAACGGAUUUAUGAUCGUUCAGAAGAACAACCUCCGCAUCCACGGUAAACCACAAAUGAGAUUAUUAGAGAUGCACAUUGAAAUCUUCACCAUCAUAGCUUGGAGUACGAUCCCAGCCUUCUUAUACCUUAUUAUUCUGAUUCCUAUCGGUUAUCCAGAUCACGUGACUUAAUGAUUAGACGAUACUGAGUAAACGAAACCAAAACCAAAUCUUAACUCUGGAUCUUGGCGACACCUUUAUCUCAGGGAUCCAGACGUCUGAUUAUUUUUGGAGAAACUCCCCCACCACCAAAGGUCAACUGGUCAUUUAGAGUAUCCUAGAAGACAGUCGGGUUCUCCUUCAGGAAAAUCAUGGAUCUGCUGGGAGACAAAAUCUGGGACAACAAAAAACUUGUGUAGUCAAAGUUCAGAAAAAAUGUUACUCACGCAUGCGCCAUAGCCAACACUGAGAUUGUUAUUGAUGAAAAGUAUUAUCCUUAUUUAUUUCGUGUGGUUCUUAAAUCGGUUUAAUGUUCUGACAGAAACCCUGUAAUUGUAAUUUUUAUAGUAAAUAAUAAUAACCUUAGCUUCACAUCAACGGCCGUGUUUAUUAGUGAGAAACAAAGAAUGUUUAAGUAUUUCUAUCCAUUUUAAACAAUCCAGACAAUAUCUGACAAAAGUAUUUAGGAAAAAGCUGCUAUAUCGAGUCCAGAAAGUUGGUCGGGAAAAUAACACCCGAAGGACCUGGAAUUCAAUCCUCCCGUUCUUCUUGUUGUUUUUUCCGUUCCAGUUAAAGCAGACAAGAUGGACAAAACCCUGCAAUAAAUUAAGAACAAGAAAUAGUCUGAGAUGUCGCCCGUGGCUAAAGGCAGAGCAACAGCUCGCGCUGAUGUUUAUUUCUCUCUGUUUUAGCACUCACAGACGGACACAGUGAGGGUCAGCUGCCAAGAACAUUUACUUGGAAUUCGAUAUAGAAUUUUCUGUAGUUUCAGUAAAAAGAACCAAAUCAUUUGUACGAAAAUAUUGUUAUUAAUAUAAUAAUGUAAUUAGUACGUUAUAUUCUAAAUUUUUAAACUCAGUGUAAUUAGUUAUAUUAUCCUGUUUUAAUGUACACAUAUAUAUACAUUUAUGUUUCGUAUGGAGUAAUAUUAAAAAAUAGCCAUUGAAAAUUUUCACUUGAUUUAUCCAAUCCAUCUGAUGUUUUUUUUUUCUAAAGAUAAAUUAGAAGAAUAUACAUUGUUAUCUUUGUUUCACUGUUGACAUUGUUUUAUUUCCUCUGGUCAUAAAUCAGUUCCAGGUGUUUUAUUUCAAUACAUUUUGCUACUGUUACUCUGGUGUUCUACUUCAGUUACUGAUAUUCAAGUUAGAAAAAAAAAUUAAAAUAUUCGAGGCAGCAUAAUGGCGCUGUUAGUCAUCCUGUCCGCCAUUUUGGAUCACGGCAGGAAUAGACGAGUGGCGGGCUUCGCGAUACUGAAACGGAUGCAGACGAUUUUUAGUGAAUCAUUAGGUUGAAAAAUGAGAAUGGUUAACAGAAGAUCAGGAGUGAAUAAUACCUAAAAAUGAAAAGUGGUUAACAGAAGAUCAGGGGUGAAUAAUAU
rnacentral:lncRNA from 1 species